rnacentral:lncRNA from 10 species
ACCAAAUCUGUUUCCAGGCAGUGGGCAAGCAGGGCUGAGAAUUGCCCCAGACUACCCACCUCCCAGCUGCAAAGGAAAAGGGCUCAGUUCUUCCCCCACCUGUGGAGUCUGCAUGCUGGAUUCCCGUUCUCCCCAGAGUUCUGGCCAGGAGGCUUCUUGCCUGGUUCAAAUUGUUAUGAAGUUCAGCUGGAGACUUCCUUCUCCCUGUGGCAUUUUCCCCACACCUCUAGCUGCCCUCCUGAAGGAUCCUGGUGGUGCCAGGAGCAGUCUGCUUCCUUCAAGAGGGUCUGUGGGUCCUCUCGGCAUUCCUGGUUUAUUCCUGCAGUUGUUCUGGAGCUAAAAUUCAUGAUGUGAGCCUCCGUAUGCUGCUCUGUCUGUCCAAGUCGGAGCUGCAAUCUGGUUCUGCCUCCUGUCUGCCGUGGUGAUCCCUGUUGUAGUUUCUGUGUGUCUUCUUUUGAGAAAUGCCUUGCGCCCUCCCGCUCUUCCAGGAUAACUCAGGGCCUCCAUCUCCUCCUUUGAAAACUGUAAGUGACAUCUACCUCCAGGUCAUAUUUAAUACCUUUCACAACUGGUAUGUCCCAGGCCACUGAGAAUAGAAGUGGAUUAUAAAUAAUUCAUUAGGACUUACCGGUGCCAACCAUCUGAAUAUCAGCCCUCUUGGGGUUAAAUUAAGUGAGUUAAGUGAGAAUUAAGUGAGGUAAUGUGCUUGGCACAGUAAUAUGAAGUGGCUAUAGGGUUAUCCUCAUGGUCCUGGAUGCCCAGAACGUGAAUGGUCUCACUGAGAUUACAUGAGGUGCCAGUGGGCAGCAGCCUGCGAUGAGACUCUGUGAACACACCCAAGGCCUUAAAGGAGAGAGAAUGCUGUGGCACUCUCAGAGAAGAAACCCAGGAUGCUUUGGGGAAGAGGCUGGCAGCCUGGUCUUGUUUUCUGCACGUGGAGGCCUCUGGACCAUGCACCUGACUAUCAAGCCUGUACAGAAGGCAGAGGCGAGGCAGGAGUUAAGCGGUCUGUGAAGGAGGAGACCUGCUCUAUUUCUCAGCUGUUGUUCUGUUGAAACAGGUGGAUGAGUUUGAGCCUGAAAGGUAAUAAGUAAAGGAGAAAGACUGGGAGCACUAGGCUCUGGGAUGCCCUCUGCAUGAGAAAGAUGGGCACUAAACCUGUCUGAGGGGAAGGUGUAGACAGAAAUAAACACGCCACAGCCUGGAGUCCAGAACCUUGAAAGUUUAAUGAGAACAGUUAGUGAAGCACUGCCCUGUGAUUCAUCUCCUCACAAACAACACUUAAAUCACGUAGGAUCAGGGUAGACAACGAUCAUUUCAUUUAGCUACUUAAAGGUUAUUUGGAACUCUUAAUAGCAUGUUGUCAAUAGGACCUGGCUUCUAAAUCCAGGCAGAUAAAAGUCCAUUCGUUCCCCAGAGUGGAGGACUUAGGAUCUAAGCCAACUCCAUAAGCCUGAUGCACCUGAAUACGUGAGAAAAGGCAAAAGGAGAUGGGAGUGAAGGGAGUUGAAGGGAGUUGCUGUGGUUUUGUGGGGUUUUUUUUUUUUUUACUUUUAAAAAAUUAUUUUAUUUUUUCAUGAUCGCCUCCCAAUAAGUCUUAGAAAAGUAAUAUUGAGGCCAGUGUUAUUUUAUUUUUUCAUGAUCGCCUCCCAAUAAGUCUUAGAAAAGUAAUAUUGAGGCCAGGCGCAGUGGCUCACGCCUGCAAUCCCAGCACUUUGGGAGGCCAAGGCGGGCAGAUCACUUGAGGUCAGGAGUUUGAGACCUGUUCGAGCCUGGCCAACAUGGCAAAACCUCAUCUCUACUAAAAAUACAAAAAUUAGCUGGGCAUGGUUGUGGGUGCCUGCAGACCCAGCUACUCAGGAGGCUGAGGCAGGAGGAUCACUUGAACCCAGGAGGCAGAUGUUGUAGUGAGCUGAGAUCGUGCCUGUGCACUCCAGCCUAGGUGACAGAGUGAGACUCCAUCUC